UACGUAGGGUGCAAGCGUUAAUCGGAAUUACUGGGCGUAAAGCGUGCGCAGGCGGCUUUGCAAGACAGAUGUGAAAUCCCCGGGCUCAACCUGGGAACUGCAUUCGUGACUGCAUCGCUGGAGUGCGGCAGAGGGGGAUGGAAUUCCGCGUGUAGCAGUGAAAUGCGUAGAUAUGCGGAGGAACACCGAUGGCGAAGGCAAUCCCCUGGGCCUGCACUGACGCUCAUGCACGAAAGCGUGGGGAGCAAACAGG
rnacentral:rRNA from 1 species